rnacentral:rRNA from 1 species
AGCAGCCGCGGUAAUUCCAGCUCCAAUAGCGUAUAUUAAAGUUGUUGCAGUUAAAAAGCUCGUAGUUGAAUUUCGGGAUCAAGGAAUCGGUCAUGCCUUGGUAUGUACUGGUUUUAUUGGUUCUCACCUUCUAAAGAACCAUAAUGUCAUUCAUUUGAUGUUAUGGGGAAUUAGGACUGUUACCUUGAAAAAAUUAGAGUGUUUAAAGCAGGCUUACGCUUGAAUACAUUAGCAUGGAAUAAUGAAAUAGGACAUCAGAUUCUAUUUUGUUGGUUUCUAGGAUCGAUGUAAUGAUUAAUAGGGAUAGUUGGGGGCAUUAGUAUUCAAUUGUCAGAGGUGAAAUUCUUGGAUUUAUUGAAGACUAACUACUGCGAAAGCAUUUGCUAAGAAUGUUUUCAUUAAUCAAGAACGAAAGUUAGAGGAUCGAAGGCGAUUAGAUACCGCCCUAGUUCUAACCAUAAACGAUGCCAACCAGCGAUCAGCCUGAGUUACCAUCGAAUUGACUC